UGAGGAAUAUUGCGCAAUGGGGGCAACCCUGAUCCAGCGAUGCCGCGUGGGUGAAGAAGGCCUUCGGGUUGUAAAGCCCUUUAGGUCGGGAAGAAGUGUGUAGGCUGAAUAAUCCUAUGCAUUGACGGUACCGACAGAAUAAGCACCGGCAAACUCUGUGCCAGCAGCCGCGGUAAUACAGGGGGUGCGAGCGUUAAUCGGAAUUACUGGGCGUAAAGGGCGCGUAGGCGGUCGAGUAAGUCGGAUGUGAAAUCCCCGGGCUUAACCUGGGAAUUGCAUUCGAUACUGCUUGGCUAGAGUGUGGAAGAGGGAAGCGGAAUUUCCGGUGUAGCGGUGAAAUGCGUAGAUAUCGGAAGGAACACCAGUGGCGAAGGCGGCUUCCUGGUCCAACACUGACGCUGAGGCGCGAAAGCGUGGGGAGCAAACAGGAUUAGAUACCCACGUAGUCCCUGAGCGGGCUGGCAAGGCGCAU
rnacentral:rRNA from 1 species